rnacentral:piRNA from 1 species
UGCCUAUUUCCACUGAAAGACUACUUGC